UACGUAGGGGGCUAGCGUUGUCCGGAUUUAUUGGGCGUAAAGAGCGUGUAGGCGGCCAGGUAGGUCUGCUGUGAAAACUGGAGGCUCAACCUUCAGACGUCGACGGAAACCGUCUGGCUAGAGUCCGGAAGAGGAGAGUGGAAUUCCUGGUGUAGCGGGUGAAAUGCGCAGAUAUCAGGAAGAACACCGAUGGCGAAGGCAGCUCUCUGGGACGGUACUGACGCUGAGACGCGAAAGCGUGGGGAGCGAACAGG
rnacentral:rRNA from 1 species